rnacentral:rRNA from 2 species
UACGGAGGGUGCGAGCGUUAUCCGGAUUUACUGGGUUUAAAGGGUGUGUAGGCGGACUGUUAAGUCAGUGGUGAAAUCCCGGGGCUCAACCCCGGAACUGCCAUUGAUACUAUCAGUCUUGAAUACUGUGGAGGUGAGCGGAAUGUGUCAUGUAGCGGUGAAAUGCUUAGAGAUGACACAGAACACCGAUUGCGAAGGCAGCUCACUACGCAGUUAUUGACGCUGAGGCACGAAAGCGUGGGGAUCAAACAGG